UAGGACUCAGACUUUGAAGAAACA
rnacentral:piRNA from 1 species